rnacentral:piRNA from 1 species
UGGCUCUUACCCUCUGAAGUGGGGCA